rnacentral:rRNA from 1 species
UGGGGAAUAUUGCACAAUGGGCGAAAGCCUGAUGCAGCAACGCCGCGUGAGCGAUGAAGGCCUUCGGGUCGUAAAGCUCUGUCCUCAAGGAAGAUAAUGACGGUACUUGAGGAGGAAGCCCCGGCUAACUACGUGCCAGCAGCCGCGGUAAUACGUAGGGGGCUAGCGUUAUCCGGAAUUACUGGGCGUAAAGGGUGCGUAGGCGGUUUUUCAAGUCAGGAGUGAAAGGCUACGGCUCAACCGUAGUAAGCUCUUGAAACUGUAAGACUUGAGUGCAGGAGAGGAGAGUAGAAUUCCUAGUGUAGCGGUGAAAUGCGUAGAUAUUAGGAGGAAUACCAGUUGCGAAGGCGGCUCUCUGGACUGUAACUGACGCUGAGGCACGAAAGCGUGGGGAGCAAACAGGAUUAGAUACCCUGGUAGUCCACGCCGUAAACGAUGAGUACUAGCUGUCGGAGGUUACCCCCUUCGGUGGCGCAGCUAACGCAUUAAGUACUCCGCCUGGGAAGUACGCUCGCAAGAGUG